rnacentral:rRNA from 1 species
CCUACGGGAGGCAGCAGUGGGGAAUUUUCCGCAAUGGGCGAAAGCCUGACGGAGCAACGCCGCGUGAGGGAUGAAGGCCUCUGGGCUGUAAACCUCUUUUAUCAAGGAAGAAGAUCUGACGGUACUUGAUGAAUAAGCCACGGCUAAUUCCGUGCCAGCAGCCGCGGUAAUACGGGAGUGGCAAGCGUUAUCCGGAAUUAUUGGGCGUAAAGCGUCCGCAGGCGGUCUUGUAAGUCUGUCGUUAAAGCGUGGAGCUCAACUCCAUUUCGGCGGUGGAAACUACAAGACUAGAGUGUGGUAGGGGCAGAGGGAAUUCCCGGUGUAGCGGUGAAAUGCGUAGAUAUCGGGAAGAACACCAGUGGCGAAGGCGCUCUGCUGGGCCAUAACUGACGCUCAUGGACGAAAGCUAGGGGAGCGAAAGGGAUUAGAUACCCCUGUAGUCCUAGCCGUAAACGAUGAACACUAGGUGUCGGGGGAAUCGACCCCCUCGGUGUCGUAGCUAACGCGUUAAGUGUUCGCCUGGGAGUACGCACGCAAGUGUGAACUAAAUGAAUUGACGGCUGAAGAGUGCGAGNGACGACGAGGAGAGG